AACCGAAUGGUGGUGAACUUUGCCUGCACAGGAUGAAGUCAGGGGAAACUCUGAUGGAGG
rnacentral:rRNA from 1 species